rnacentral:lncRNA from 1 species
UAAUUGUGGGAGAUAGAGUAUAUAUGUUGCCUCCAAUGGUAUUUAUAUCUGCUGGAGAUAGAGUAUAUAUGUUGCCUCCCCAUGUUGCUCUUGAUUGGGCGAUCAUAUGGUUUUUAACUUAAGCCAUUUAAGAUAACAUAAUGUUAUAUGGUUCUGAAAUCUAUGACACAUGAGAUAUGAAAUAUGAAGUGUCAAUAUGAGUGUUUUUGUAAUAGCAUAUGCAAAUUUGAAUUAAGAGUUUAGUAAUGCAUCAUUUAUGCGUUGAUAAAAUGCACUAAUUUGAUGGAUGUAAUUACAUGGUUGUGAAUGGUCAAUUUAUGGAUUGAAAUUUUGAUGUAAAUGUUUUCCUUCUCUGCUUUGUAAUCUUAGGCUUGUCUUCAUUUGUUAACUUCAAAAGUAGCAAAUGGCAAAAGACAAAUAUUUCUUUUUAGCUCCCCGACAACAAAAUUAUUUUGCACAAUGAAUAACGUUUCCAUUUUUUGUUUGAGAGAGAGAGAGAGAGCAGAUCCACCAUUCUCCAUAAGAAAGUUAAACAACAAGAUAUUUAUGUUACAAACUAAAUGAAAACUAUCAGUGUUUUAUCGACUGAUUAGUGAAUUUAUACGAAUAUUGCACUGCUCUAGGAAGACGAUGGU